UGCGGAAGGAUCAUUAAAGAGUAAGGGUGCUCAGCGCCCGACCUCCAACCCUUUGUUGUUAAAACUACCUUGUUGCUUUGGCGGGACCGCUCGGUUCCGAGCCGCUGGGGAUUCGUCCCAGGCGAGUGCCCGCCAGAGUUAAACCAAACUCUUGUUAUUAAACCGGUCGUCUGAGUUAAAAUUUUGAAUAAAUCAAAACUUUCAACAACGGAUCUCUUGGUUCUCGCAUCGAUGAAGAACGCAGCGAAAUGCGAUAAGUAAUGUGAAUUGCAGAAUUCAGUGAAUCAUCGAAUCUUUGAACGCACAUUGCGCCCCUUGGUAUUCCGAGGGGCAUGCCUGUUCGAGCGUCAUUACACCACUCAAGCUAUGCUUGGUAUUGGGUGCCGUCCUUAGUUGGGCGCGCCUUAAAGACCUCGGCGAGGCCACUCCGGCUUUAGGCGUAGUAGAAUUUAUUCGAACGUCUGUCAAAGGAGAGGAACUCUGCCGAUUGAAACCUUUAUUUUUCUAGGUUGACCUCGGAUCAGGUAGGGAUACCCGCUGAACUUAA
rnacentral:misc_RNA from 1 species